rnacentral:lncRNA from 1 species
UCUCUCAGGCAAUAAAUCUAUUGCACUUAAAGAAACGAAGGGUAAUUACCGCUAUGGAAUUAGAAUAAGGCCAAAGACCCAAGGAGUCCUAGGGUCUGUGUGUAAACUUCACGGUCAAAUAAAGUUUCAUUUAUUUAAUUCUUCUACACAUCUCAGAAGGAAAGUGAGAGAGGGACUAUAACUGAUUUCUGCCCCCUCUUUAAUUUAGAGGAACGGGGGAAUCAGGGAAGACAAGUCUGUUUGCUACCCUGCUGGAAGGAGAAGGCGUGUGAACCCGGCCAAACCCCACGAAGAAAUCGUAUUAUCAGUGGAUCCUUUCCAGGGUCCAUUUCUUCCCCCACCCCACUCCACCCUACUCCACCCCCUAGAAGGAGCUGAGGAUCGCCCUCCGCUCUCACCGGCUCCUGCAGAUCUGCACAAGUGCAGUUGAUAUCAUGGAAAGCCUUACCUGCUCCAAGAGCUGAAAAAAGCCACUAUCCCCUCCCUGCCCACGGCCGCCCCGAGCCAUCCUAAUGUGUGCCACCCUCCACCCCAACCCCUAGGGCCCAGUAACCUGCUAUUUGUUCCAUCUGGCUAAGAGAAACUCUAAAGGAAUUUUUUUUUUCCACGAUUGAAUGGAAGCUCUGUACUGUACCGACUUCUGGAUUUGUCCUGGGCUGAGUUUAGGGAAUGUCUGAAAGGAAAGGGGGAGGAAAAAGAAAAGAAAAGAAAAAGAAAAAGGAAGCAACUCGAGCCCUGAUCCAAGUUAGUCAGAAGAAAGCGAUUGUUGGUCAGGAACGCUCUUGCGGGAGAAACAGCUGGGAUGUAGGAUGCCUGCAAGGAGAGCCCACCCCGGCAGCCAGCCCUUUCGUCUCCGAGGCAUUUUUGGAGAAAUGCUGAGGUCCCUAUGUGUUUCAAGAGCCCAGAGGAAUUUUUAUCCCCUCAAGAUGAAACCCCACUUGUGGGCCAAGAGCAAAAAAGUCCUUUGAAAGGAAAAGAAGAAAAGUACCUCAACCACCUCAGGGCCAACAACACUUUAUAUACCACUUGGUACCCAACUAAGCCCAGAGCAAAGGGAACCCUCAAUGGGAAAUAAAGCAAGGACCCCAACCUUUCCCUGACUCUGC